GCUCUUAUGGUGAAAUGGUUAGCACUCUGGACUUUGAAUCCAGCGACCGGGCUCAAUCCCGGUAGGAGCU
rnacentral:tRNA from 1 species